UCCAAACACAUCUCUACAAACACAUUCUUCCAACUCCUCCCCACUUGUGCCUUCUAGUAACUCACUACCUCUCCAUGCUACAAACCAAUCCCCACCUUAUGAGUUGGUCCCAAUAGGCGAUUUGUCUUCUGGGGACCUCUAUUUUUUGUUCUUUCUCUCUCUCUCUCUCUCUCUCUGAGCCCUUGCACAUUUUUCUUUUUUCUCUUCUCUCUUUUCUUCUCUGCUAGUCCUAUCUCUUACUCUAUUUGACCACAGCCACUCUCCUCCUCCCAAUAUAUUGCCCACCAAUUCUCCUCCAUCCCAUUCCUUUUCUCUCUUUUGUGUUUUUUCACAAUACCAAGUGGGAGCAAUGCUCAUCUCUAAACAACCCAACUUAUUCCUAGUACUCCUCUUCACCUUAUUGUUUGCUGCAUAUUUCACUCAAGUGUGCAGGAUCUAAGUCUCAAGUAGUGCCUCCAUACCAUCAAAGAGAAAUAGUACACUUGCAGAGCAGUGGUGAACAAUGGAUGAAUAGGAA